GGGCUUUAAUGGAGCGAGCUUUACUAUUAUCCAUAACACCUGUGAACUAUUUGCCUUCGGGCACACUACCAAACAUAAUGUAAUGAAUGUAAUCUACUAUAAUAAAUAUAACUUUCAACAACGGAUCUCUUGGCUCUCACAUCGAUGAAGAACGCAGCGAAAUGCGAUAAGUAAUGUGAAUUGCAGAAUUCAGUGAAUCAUCGAAUCUUUGAACGCAGAUUGCGCCCUUUGGUAUUCCGAAGGGCAUGCCUGUUUGAGUGUCUUAUAAACCUCACCUCUAUAGUUUUCUAUAGUUGUGCUUUGGGUGUUGCCAGUACUGGCUCGCCUUAAAUGUCUAAGUGGAAUGCGUAAUAAGUUCUCGCAACCCUCCACUCUAACUACACUUUAUAUUCUGACCUCAAAUCAGGUAGGACUACCCGCUGAACUUAAGCAUAUCAAAGGCC
rnacentral:rRNA from 1 species